AUCAAAUAAAAGCAAAAUGCAUAAACAAAAUCAAAGAAGAGAACCACCAUUACAAGCAUUGCUAACUAAUUUCAACUACAUAACUUCAAUUAGAAGAUUUUCUACCAAGAAAAUUAUGAGAAAAUCAGAGAUCACUAGAAAAAAUAUAGAUUCAUCAUAAGUUCAAUAAUCCAAUUCAGAGAUCAAUAGAAAAAAAAAACAUUUACCUGAUUUUACUCUAGAAAUUCCUUUCAAUCACCAUGAAUUGUGAAAAUCAAAGAGGUGAGACUGAGAGAGGGAAGUCGGAAAGAGAGAGAGAGAAGUGGCUGAUUGCCUUUUCCUUUUUCUUGAGUUUAGACUGUACUCAUCGUUCCCUCUACUUGUUCUUGGUUUGAUCAGAUGAGCUA
rnacentral:lncRNA from 1 species